AUAGAUAAAUACGUUAUACCGUAGACAGUAGGUGCGAGUGCUUCGCUUAAUUUCCUACCGAGGUGAGUGAAUCAUAUAGAAGCUUAGUUGUGCGUUUAAGAACCGAGCUAUAUCUGAUAUGCCUCCGUGUCUACCACGGGGGCAUUUUUCAUGGUCGAU
rfam:Pontibacillus litoralis JSM 072002 contig24, whole genome shotgun sequence.